GGGCACAAGGAGCUGGGAGGGGGCACAGCCAGGACAGCCGACCCCAACCGACCCCAGGGGUACCCACACCGUAUGGCGUUAAGCUCAGCAGGCAAAGCU